UACGAAGGGGGCUAGCGUUGCUCGGAAUCACUGGGCGUAAAGCGCACGUAGGCGGCUUUUUAAGUCAGAGGUGAAAUCCUGGAGCUCAACUCCAGAACUGCCUUUGAUACUGAAGAUCUUGAGUUCGGGAGAGGUGAGUGGAACUGCGAGUGUAGAGGUGAAAUUCGUAGAUAUUCGCAAGAACACCAGUGGCGAAGGCGGCUCACUGGCCCGAUACUGACGCUGAGGCACGAAAGCGUGGGGAGCAAACGGG
rnacentral:rRNA from 1 species